rnacentral:misc_RNA from 1 species
CGUGAGUACUCAUCAACCUUAAUAGCUCCAGUACUAUCAAGCUCCACGCCUGCAGUCUCCAAAUUUAACCUCUUUGUAUAGGGUGCCCGACCAGUAGCAAAAAGCACAACAUCUGCCAAGAACUCUUCUCCAUGAUCUGUAGAAACUUUUAUGCCAUCCUCAGUUUUAAUUAACUGCGUCAAAGUUGUCCUGGGGUGCAAAUUUAUUCCCCUGCCCUCCAGAUUUCUUGCAACCACUGCCCUCAUUUCAUCAUCAAAACCUCUUAA